AUGUUCUCCCAGGACUUUUUCCUGGCCAUUAUCCUGCAGGACAGCAGCGCAGUGUGGCCACAUUAGCCACCAACAGGGCCCAGGAGGAGACCUGAGCCAUGUCCCCUACUGGUGGCCCCACAUGUGGUGACUCCAGACUAUAGGCUCUAGGCAGAAGCAGGAACUGUGUUGUGGUAUAGCUCUUCCUUCACCCCUUCUCAACCAUGGGGUCUCAGAGAGGACCGGGCAUAGGCACCGGCUGUCUGCUCUUUGGGUAGGCUGACCCUCACCAAGCCUCCCACCUGGCAGAUUCCUUCUGGAACCCCAACGCCUUCGAGACGGAUUCCGACCUGCCGGCUGGAUGGAUGAGGGUCCAGGACACCUCAGGGACCUAUUACUGGCACAUCCCAACAGGGACCACCCAGUGGGAACCCCCCGGCCGGGCCUCCCCCUCACAGGGGAGCAGCCCCCAAGAGGAGUCCCAGCUCACCUGGACAGGUUUUGCUCAUGGAGAAGGCUUUGAGGAUGGAGAAUUUUGGAAGGAUGAACCCAGUGAUGAGGCCCCAAUGGAGCUGGGACUGAAGGAACCUGAGGAGGGGACAUUGACCUUCCCAGCUCAGAGCCUCAGCCCAGAGCCGUUGCCCCAAGAGGAGGAGAAGCUUCCCCCACGGAAUACCAACCCAGGGAUCAAGUGUUUCGCCGUGCGCUCCCUAGGCUGGGUAGAGAUGACCGAGGAGGAGCUGGCCCCUGGACGCAGCAGUGUGGCAGUCAACAAUUGCAUCCGUCAGCUCUCUUACCACAAAAACAACCUGCAUGACCCCAUGUCUGGGGGCUGGGGGGAAGGAAAGGAUCUGCUACUGCAGCUGGAGGAUGAGACACUAAAGCUAGUGGAGCCACAGAGCCAGGCACUGCUGCACGCCCAACCCAUCAUCAGCAUCCGCGUGUGGGGCGUCGGGCGGGACAGUGGAAGGGACUUUGCCUACGUAGCUCGUGAUAAGCUGACCCAGAUGCUCAAGUGCCACGUGUUUCGCUGUGAGGCACCCGCCAAGAACAUCGCCACCAGCCUGCAUGAGAUCUGCUCUAAGAUCAUGGCCGAACGGCGUAAUGCCCGCUGCUUGGUAAAUGGACUCUCCCUGGACCACUCUAAACUUGUGGAUGUCCCUUUCCA
rnacentral:sRNA from 1 species